AGAGUUUGAUCCUGGCUCAGGAUGAACGCUAGCGGCAGGCUUAACACAUGCAAGUCGAGGGGCAGCGGGGAGGAAGCUUGCUUUCUCCGCCGGCGACCGGCGCACGGGUGAGUAACACGUAUGCAACCUGCCCCUGUCAGGGGGACAACCCGCCGAAAGGCGGGCUAAACCCGCGUACAUGCCACCGGGGCAUCCCGGAGGCAGGAAAGGCUUCGGCCGGACAGGGAUGGGCAUGCGGCGCAUUAGGCAGUAGGCGGGGUAACGGCCCACCUAACCGACGAUGCGUAGGGGUUCUGAGAGGAAGGUCCCCCACACUGGUACUGAGACACGGACCAGACUCCUACGGGAGGCAGCAGUGAGGAAUAUUGGUCAAUGGUCGGGAGACUGAACCAGCCAAGCCGCGUGAGGGAGGAAGGUACAGAGUAUCGUAAACCUCUUUUGUCAGGGAACAAAGGCGGGGACGUGUCCCCGGAUGAGUGUACCUGAAGAAAAAGCAUCGGCUAACUCCGUGCCAGCAGCCGCGGUAAUACGGAGGAUGCGAGCGUUAUCCGGAUUUAUUGGGUUUAAAGGGUGCGCAGGCGGUCUGUUAAGUCAGCGGUCAAAGCCCGGGGCUCAACCCCGGCCCGCCGUUGAAACUGGCAGUCUCGAGUUGGAGAGAAGUAUGCGGAAUGCGCGGUGUAGCGGUGAAAUGCAUAGAUAUCGCGCAGAACUCCGAUUGCGAAGGCAGCAUGCCGGCUCCACACUGACGCUGAGGCACGAAAGCGUGGGUAUCGAACAGGAUUAGAUACCCUGGUAGUCCACGCAGUAAACGAUGAAUGCUGGCUGUCCGGGGGGAUUGACCCCUGGGUGGCGAAGCGAAAGCGAUAAGCAUUCCACCUGGGGAGUACGCCGGCAGCGGUGAAACUCAAAGGAAUUGACGGGGGCCCGCACAAGCGGAGGAACAUGUGGUUUAAUUCGAUGAUACGCGAGGAACCUUACCCGGGCUCAAACGGGGAGUGACUCAGGCAGAGACGCCUGUUUCCCACGGGACACUCCCCGAGGUGCUGCAUGGUUUCGUCAGCUCGUGCCGUGAGGUGUCGGCUUAAGUGCCAUAACGAGCGCAACCCCCGCGUGCAGUUGCUAACAGAUAACGCUGAGGACUCUGCACGGACUGCCGGCGCAAGCCGCGAGGAAGGCGGGAUGACGUCAAAUCAGCACGGCCCUUACGUCCGGGGCGACACACGUGUUACAAUGGGUGGUACAGCGGGAAGCCAGGCGGCGACGCCGAGCGGAACCCGAAAUCCACUCUCAGUUCGGAUCGGAGUCUGCAACCCGACUCCGUGAAGCUGGAUUCGCUAGUAAUCGCGCAUCAGCCAUGGCGCGGUGAAUACGUUCCCGGGCCUUGCACUCACCGCCCGUCA
rnacentral:rRNA from 1 species